rnacentral:rRNA from 1 species
GAUGAACGCUAGCUACAGGCUUAACACAUGCAAGUCGCGGGGCAGCAUGGGGGUUGCUUGCAAUCCCCGAUGGCGACCGGCGCACGGGUGAGUAACGCGUAUCCAACCUGCCCUUCACCACGGGAUAACCCGGCGAAAGUCGGACUAAUACCGUAUGUUGUCCAUUGACGGCAUCCGAUUUGGACGAAAGGUUUGGCGGUGAAGGAUGGGGAUGCGUCCGAUUAGCUGGACGGCGGGGUGACGGCCCACCGUGGCGACGAUCGGUAGGGGUUCUGAGAGGAAGGUCCCCCACACUGGAACUGAGACACGGUCCAGACUCCUACGGGAGGCAGCAGUGAGGAAUAUUGGUCAAUGGGCGUAAGCCUGAACCAGCCAAGUAGCGUGCAGGAUGACGGCCCUAUGGGUUGUGAACUGCUUUUAUGCGGGGAUAAAGUGGCCCACGUGUGGGUUUUUGCAGGUACCGCAUGAAUAAGGACCGGCUAAUUCCGUG